rnacentral:rRNA from 1 species
AGUGAACGCUGGCGGUAGGCCUAACACAUGCAAGUCGAACGGCCGCACAGUAAGAGCUUGCUCUUACGGGUGGCGAGUGGCGGACGGGUGAGGCAUACAUCGGAAUCUACUUUUUCGUGGGGGAUAACGUAGGGAAACUUACGCUAAUACCGCAUACGACCUACGGGUGAAAGCAGGGGAUCUUCGGACCUUGCGCGAUUGAAUUAGCCGAUGUCGGAUUAGCUAGUUGGCGUGGUAAAGGCCCACCAAGGCGACGAUGCGUAGCUGGUCUGAGAGGAUGAUCGGCCACACUGGAACUGAGACACGGUCCAGACUCCUACGGGAGGCAGCAGUGGGGAAUAUUGGACAAUGGGCGAAAGCCUGAUCCAGCCAUACCGCGUGGGUGAAGAAGGCCUUCGGGUUGUAAAGCCCUUUUGUUGGGAAAGAAAAGCAGCAGGUUAAUACCCCGAUGUUCUGACGGUACCCAAAGAAUAAGCACCGGCUAACUUCGUG